rnacentral:rRNA from 1 species
UACGGGGGGGGCAAGCGUUGUUCGGAAUUACUGGGCGUAAAGGGCUCGUAGGUGGCCAACUAAGUCGGACGUGAAAUCCCUCAGCUUAACUGGGGAACUGCGUCCGAUACUGGAUGGCUUGAGUUCGGGAGAGGGAUGCGGAAUUCCAGGUGUAGCGGUGAAAUGCGUAGAUAUCUGGAAGAACACCCGUGGCUAAGGCGGCUCUCUAGUACGGUACUGACGCUGAGACGCGAAAGCGUGGGGAGCGAACAGG